AAAAAUUAGGCAUUUCGUGGCCCAGAAGUAACGACUAACGAGAGGGUAGGUAAGGGUUUAUUAUCACAGUUUCACAUUCAAACGCCGCAUUGUGAAAACUCCAUGGAUGAAGUUAGGGCUACCUCUGCUUGGGUCGCUAGCCGCUCCUCCCAUGUCACCGUCGACUCUUCAGGAAUUGAGAAAGUAGUGAGCAAGAUUGAGUCUAUUCCCAAAGUUGAAUGGGAUUUUGAAGGGAUUCAUUAUUUUGAUAAUGGACCUCUCACUGUUCAGUACCUGUUUGUUUUGGACGCUUUGAAUUUUUGCUUCUGGCCUG